GUCUGUUCCCCACAAAUUCAUAUGCUGAAGUCCACAGAAUGUGACUUUAUCUGGAAAUAUGGCCAUUACAGAUAGAUCGGUAGAGCACA